rnacentral:rRNA from 1 species
CUACGGGGGGCACCAGUGGGGAAUAUUGCACAAUGGAGGAAACUCUGAUGCAGCAACGCCGCGUGGAGGAUGACACUUUUCGGAGCGUAAACUCCUUUUAUAUAGGAAGAAGAUGACGGUACUAUAUGAAUAAGCGCCGGCUAACUCCGUGCCAGCAGCACGCGGUAAUACGGAGGGCGCAAGCGUUACUCGGAAUCACUGGGCGUAAAGAGCGUGUAGGCGGAUUAAAAAGUCAGAAGUGAAAUCCUAUAGCUUAACUAUAGAACUGCUUCUGAAACUCUUAAUCUAGAAUAUGGGAGAGGUAGAUGGAAUUUCUGGUGUAGGGGUAAAAUCCGUAGAGAUCAGAAGGAAUACCGAUUGCGAAGGCGAUCUACUAGAACAUUAUUGACGCUGAGACGCGAAAGCGUGGGGAGCAAACAGGAUUAGAUACCCUCGUAGUC